rnacentral:rRNA from 1 species
UACGUAGGGUGCGAGCGUUAAUCGGAAUUACUGGGCGUAAAGCGUCCGCAGGUGGCAGUUCAAGUCUGCUGUCAAAGACCGGGGCUUAACUUCGGAAAGGCAGUGGAAACUGAACAGCUAGAGUAUGGUAGGGGCAGAGGGAAUUCCUGGUGUAGCGGUGAAAUGCGUAGAGAUCAGGAAGAACAUCGGUGGCGAAGGCGCUCUGCUGGACCAUAACUGACACUCAGGGACGAAAGCUAGGGGAGCGAAUGGG